rnacentral:rRNA from 1 species
AAACCAACCGGGAUUGCCUUAGUAACGGCGAGUGAAGCGGCAAAAAGCUCAAAUUUGAAAUCUGGUACCUUCGGUGCCCGAGUUGUAAUUUGGAGAGGGCAACUUUGGGGCCGUUCCUUGUCUAUGUUCCUUGGAACAGGACGUCAUAGAGGGUGAGAAUCCCGUGUGGCGAGGAGUGCGGUUCUUUGUAAAGUGCCUUCGAAGAGUCGAGUUGUUUGGGAAUGCAGCUCUAAGUGGGUGGUAUAUUCCAUCUAAAGCUAAAUAUUGGCGAGAGACCGAUAGCGAACAAGUACAGUGAUGGAAAGAUGAAAAGAACUUUGAAAAGAGAGUGAAAAAGUACGUGAAAUUGUUGAAAGGGAAGGGCAUUUGAUCAGACAUGGUGUUUUGUGCCCUCUGCUCCUUGUGGGUAGGGGAAUCUCGCAUUUCACUGGGCCAGCAUCAGUUUGGUGGCAGGAUAAAUCCAUAGGAAUGUAGCUUGCCUCGGUAAGUAUUAUAGCCUGUGGGAAUACUGCC